CUUUUUCUUCUGAUUAUUGGUAUUAAUCUAUGACUUUGACUAUGUUUAAAUAGUUUAUUUAUUCUUUCCUUCGAUUCGAUUCAUUAUGUUCAAAACCCUAAAUUCCUAGCUCUAAUCAUGGGUUUCUGAGUGUGUUUUUGAUAAUAUGUUCAACUAGUCUGUUUGUUUCUCAUGCACAUUCUGUGAUUCUGCCACUUUUACCCUAUGUUUGCUUGUUAGGGUUUUUGACUUUGACUAUUCCUGCAUAUUAUGUGUUUAUUCCCAGAAAAUUAUGGCCAUUUCCUCUCAUCAAUACCAUCCUUUACUCUGAAUCCCGGAUUUUUGUGAUUCUUUUACCCCUGCUCUUAUUUGUGUUAUAAUUGCUUCGUUCAGUUGUGAUACUUUCCCUUGGUCAAUGUUACCUUUUUCAUGGAAUGCCUGAUUCUAAUUUUCCUUAAUUAGAAUUUGUCAAACCUAUCCUUUAUUACAUGCUCUAACUAUGCUUAUUUCCUUAUGUGUUAUAUUCCAGUCUCAUAUGAUCCCCUUCCUUAUUUGUCACCUUCUAUCUACGUUGGUAAAUUACUCCCUUAAUCAAGGGAGACUUGGCUGAUAUUUGAUUCUUAAUUGAUUUUUCAGUUCUACAAUUUCUUCUUUCCUUAUAGACUUGACUUUUAAACUAUUAUAUAUAGCCUUUUAUCUUUUCAUUGCACACACGAACAAGGACACUAUUUUGAACUUUCUCUUACACACAUACAUAUUGUUUUGCUUCUCUUGCUGUUUACUUGAUACUUAGUCGGCUACAAGCCAAAACUGAGUCAUUUCAGAUGCUCUAAUGCUCUACACACUACUGCUCUACUUCCCUUCAUUGUAGUGCUCUUCACACCCCACUCUGCACAUAUUCUCUCAUUUUUACUGGUGUGUUUUUAGUUUAACUUACAUUAUCUAAAACAAUAUGUCUCUAUUUUUAUUGCACUUCCUUUUGUUUCUCUUAUGCUUCUACUUGUGGUUCUGCUGUCUCCUUUGCAAUUAGCAUGCCUAUUUUGCCAUGUGAUUACCCCUUUCCUAAAAUUCAGCAUGUCUACUACUUUCUUACAUUUUCUACUACUAUUCUGCCCUACCCCCUAACCCCCAAUACAUUAUAAGCAUCUGUCUGUGACACUUAGUUACUAUGCGAUCCUAAACCCUUCCCCUUAAACCUAAUGUGUAAUUCUGUUUAGCACCCCUUAAUCUAAUAUUGUUAAUCUCCUGGCAUGAAUACCUUGUGAUAUACUAUUGCUGUGACUAUCUAAGUUUUGUAGUACUUCUCUAGUGUUAACUUGUGUGCAAAUAUGUUUUCACAUAUGAACUACUUGUCCCCAAUUCCUCCUAUGCCUAUUUGUAUUUGAACUAUGUAUGUUGAUUUGGUUUUAAGUUGCUGGUUGUCCUGUUUCUUCUUCUUCAAACUUGUUUUCACUAAGGCAAACUCUUCUAUUGCUUUCCAAAACUUAUUUCAAACUGAUCAUUGUCAAAAUUAUUUCCAACUCAAUUCUUUUAAAUAUAUUUAAGCACUCUCACUCUACUCUUAGACCACUAAGUUCUGUCCCUUUUGUGUGAGCCUUGCCUUGAGACCCUUGAGCUCCCUCUGAACUUGGACACAUAAAAGUUGGCCUUUCUACACUGCACUUACUCCGUCUUGGAUAUGAAAUCUGGGUGUAAGCAUUGCUCGGGAUCCCUUGAGGUCUUUAGGGAACUCUGGCACACCCAGAUAUGAGAAAGGCUAUGGAACAAUCUAGGCCCUUGAGGUGAUUUAUUACAUAACUCAGGGAGGAAGUCCUAAUCAAGUGCUAAAAGUCUGGGUCUGUUUCAGGCUCUCUAUAUUUUUACUUUUCUUAUAUAAUUCAUUUCAGUAUUGGUCUAUAAUAAUUUGUUGUAAACAAGUAUUGGGGUUGUCUAGUGAAAAUGGGAGGGUAGUUAGACAUGUUAUCGACAUCAAAGGGUAGAAACCAUGUCUUAGGUUUACAUUUCCUGUGUGUGCAUUAGAAUCCUUUGUAUAAGAUCAACCUAUUCAAAGCAUGUCAUGCGUUAGAUAUCAUGUUUCUUAGGUCUUAUUGUUUCAGCAUCUCAUUUGGCAGCACUUUACCACUUAGAAACCUUAUUUUAGGCUAAAUAAUAGCAUCAACAUAAAAUUGUUGCUCCUGCACAUCCUGAAAUCAAGCUGUAACUUUUGGGAAUUUAAAAUCAUGCUUUAGGAACCUAAAAUUAUUUUUCAUCUUCAUUUGUGCAUGUUAGAUACCCUAUUUUAGGAUUUUGUUUACACUCGUUCAGUUAUACCUAGUUAAAUUGUGAAUGCAUGAAAAAGACAUAAAAUAGUAUCUUAUUUUAUUAUCAUGUUUAAAUGAAACAAGUCACAAUCCCUGCAUGUCGUUGCAACAUUUAGAACAGCAUGCUUUAGGUAAAAUAACUGCCAAACUAUUUUUAAUAAUUCUGGUAGCUUCUGCAUAUUAUUUUAUGCCUGGCAAGCCUUAGGCAAUAAACUUUAAAAUAAAACGAUAACCGUCUUUGUGAUUAGUGUUUAACUGUCAACGUGUUAAAAUCAGUAGGCAAGCCUGCUUCAGACUUCUUCUCUGAGUCAUGUAAUAAAUCUGGUUUCGAUGUUAUCACUUAGAUACCAUGCAUAGAAUCUGAAUUUAGACCUUAAUUGUGCAUGAGUCAUGUUGUUUAUGUGUACUAUGUGUAGAGGUAUAUCUGAGCCUUUUAUUUGUCUUUCAUUCUCCCCUUUAACUGAAGUCCUACAUAUUUAUUAUAUGUUGCCUUAGUAUUUUACCAUUAAAGCUGAGGGUUUUCCUGAAACCCCCUCCCCCCCAUAGGAUAGGAGUCCUAAAUUCCUCUAGGACUGAUAGGAAGGGACAUGUAAUAGCAUGUAAUAAGGGUUGAGAUCAACCCUCACUUUAAUCACCUUCACAGGGCGAGGAAGGGUAGAUAUGGAUAUGAUGACCGGUACAUUAAUACCACGUGUAGCCCUCUUUGAGGAAUGUCAUACUGGGUAUCGCAUUAAUAUGAUACAUAUUAUAAACAAACCUAGGACACCCCUAUUUAUAUUCGCAAAUAUGCUUAGAUUGUAAUUAUUUUAAAAAUCUCGCUUUUCACUAAUUGUUUUUCAGACAAUUGUGUAUCUAAACUUAAAUCCCCUGUUAUUUGAGCCUUAUUUAUCUAUUUGCUAAUUGUACAAUCACAAAAACUGUUUGACCGGGAAUCAUACUAGUGGAUCCUGAGGGGUUCCUAACACCUUUCCCUUAGGAUAAUUUCAAGUCCUUACCCUUUAUCUGGUUACCAAACGAAGUUAUAAAUGAACCCUAUAGGUGCCUUAACGCACCUUAGGUCCUUAGGUGGCGACUCUUCAAAAAUGUAAACCUCCUUUCCAAAAGGAGAGAGUUGUCCCAACCAAAUGUCAUAAACCCGAUUUCGCGAGAGAAAGGGGGCGCGACAACAUUUAUUGGCUAUUUAAUGUCGAUAUAUAUAACAAGGGCUAUUUUCUACCAAUUAUAUGAGUAGAUUGUUAUAUCACGCCAAAAUCCCGGUGGACUGCAACAAGCAUUAUUUGAGGCCCAAACUGAAAAUAAUGCUUUGGGACGACUAUUUGAGGCCCUGCUAAGGUUGGCCAAUUGAUAGAAAUUUAAUAAUAAUCAGAUUUACAAGUGAUCAUUCAAAAAUAGCCGCAGUUUCAAAAGUAAUCAAAAUUUAGCAACUUUUAUGUAAAGAUAAAUUUGAACAUAAAACACCGUUUAAAAUCUGAAAAAGUACACCAGCAUAAUAUACUGGAGUUCGAGUAUAAUAUGCGAUCCAACAUAAUAUACUGGAGUUGGAGCACUGGUUCUCUAGUCUCCAAUAUAUUAUACUAGAGCUAGCAAAGUAUAUCGAUCCAGCAUAAUAUGCUGGAAGAUCAAAUACAGGUGCACCGAACUCCAGUAUAUUAUGCUGGACUAGUCUCUGUUGUAGCAAAGUAGUAGUUAUUUUUCAGUUACUUGGCAAAUGCUAGCUAUUUUUGAAUGAUUAGUCUAAAAACUAGCUAGACCAUGCUAUUUUAGAUUUAAAUUAGAAAAUUUCAAAAUUAUGUUAGAGAUUUACAAUCAUCUUCUAAAAUUGGGCAAGGUCAACAAAUGCAAUCAUCAUCCAAAAAAUUAACACAACUAUGUCUAAAUAUCUUGUAAAAGAUCUAACUAUAAUAACAUACAAGAAGUUGCAGCAAUCAUUAUUGACUUUUUAUGAUACAUAGGAAACAUUGGGCGAUUUUUUUGUUACAAUGAAUACAUUAAUGGCUUUUUGUGAUACAAGUUAAAAUUGAG
rnacentral:lncRNA from 1 species